rnacentral:rRNA from 1 species
CUCUACAGCCAUACCACCCUGAACGCGCCCGAUCUUGUCGGAUCUCAGCAGCUAAGCAGGGUUUGGCCUGGUUAGUACUUAGAUGGGAGAGCAGAAUGGCUGGCUAGUAAACU